UACAGAGGGUGCAAGCGUUAAUCGGAAUUACUGGGCGUAAAGCGUGCGUAGACGGUUAUUUAAGUCAGGUGUGAAAGCCCCGGGCUCAAUCUGGGAAUUGCAUUUGAGACUGAAUAGCUAGGGUGCGGAAGAGGGAAGCGGAAUUUCCGGUGUAGCGGUGAAAUGCGUAGAUAUCUGGAGGAACACCGGUGGCGAAGGCGGCAUCCUGGACCGGCAUUGACGCUGAGGCGCGAAAGCCAGGGGAGCAAACGGG
rnacentral:rRNA from 1 species